rnacentral:rRNA from 1 species
AUUGAACGCUGGCGGCAUGCCUUACACAUGCAAGUCGAACGGCAGCGGACCUUCGGGUGCCGGCGAGUGGCGAACGGGUGAGUAAUGCAUCGGAACGUACCUUUCAGUGGGGGAUAACGUAGCGAAAGUUACGCUAAUACCGCAUAUUCUGUGAGCAGGAAAGCAGGGGAUCGCAAGACCUUGCGCUGAUUGAGCGGCCGAUGUCAGAUUAGCUAGUUGGUGAGGUAAAGGCUAACCGAGGCGACGAUCUGUAGCGGGUCUGAGAGGAUGAUCCGCCACACUGGAACUGAGACAUGGUCCAGACUCCUACGGGAGGCAGCAGUGGGGAAUUUUGGACAAUGGGGGCAACCCUGAUCCAGCCAUGCCGCGUGAGUGAAGAAGGCCUUCGGGUUGUAAAGCCCUUUCGGCCGGGAAGAAAUCGCACGGGCUAAUACCCUGUGUGGAUGACGGUACCGGAAUAAGAAGCACCGGCUAACUACGUGCCAGCCGCCGCAGUAAUAC